rnacentral:rRNA from 1 species
AAGCUCCGUCGUCGAAAGGGAAACAGCCCAGAUCGUCGUCUAAGGUCCCCAAGCGUGUGCUAAGUGGGAAAGGAUGUGGAGUCGCAUAGACAGCCAGGAGGUUGGCUCAGAAGCAGCCACCCUUGAAAGAGUGCGUAACAGCUCACUGGUCUAGUGGUUCCGCGCCGACAAUGUAGCGGGGCUCAAGCACACCACCGAAGACGCGGCAGUAGCUUUGCUACUGGGUAGGAGAGCGUCCCAUGCGGGGCGAAGCGGCGGCGCAAGCCCGCCGUGGACUGCAUGGGAGUGAGAAUGCAGACAUGAGUAGCGAAAGACGGGUGAAGAUCCCGUCCGCUGGACGACCAAGGGUUCCAGGGCCACGUUCAUCGUCCCUGGGUGAGUCGGGUCCUAAGGCGAGGCCGACAGGCGUAGUCGAAUGGAUGAACGGGUCGAUAUUCCCGUACCGGCAUGCAACCGACAAAACCGAAUCCGCGAGUACUAACCUCCGGGUCCGGGCUUACGUCUCCUUCGGGAGCCGGAUGCCCUGGCCUGUUGGGACCGUAACGGUAGUAGGUCAGCGCGGGAGUGACGCAGAAGGGUAGCCGGCCGCGGAGGUGGUCUUCCGUGGUCAAGCACGCAGCCCGUCCCACAGGCAAAUCCGUGGGGCGCGUGGGCGAGGUGCGAUGAUGGGCGCCGCAGGGCGCGAUAUCCGGUGAUCCCGGCUGCCGAGAAAAGCUUCGGCGUGAGGCGGCGUGCCGCCCGUACCCCAAACCGACACUGGUGGUCAGGUAGAGAAUACCAAAGCGAUCGAGCGAAUCCUGGUCAAGGAACUCGGCAAAUCACUCCCGUUCCUUCGGUUUAAGGGAGACCCCCGAUGGUGAAGCGGCUUGCCCGUGGAGCUUUUGGGGGUGGCACAGACCAGGGGGUAGCGACUGUUUACCAAAAACACAGGAGCGUGCGAAGGCGCAAGCCGCUGUAUACGCUCUGACGCCUGCCCGGUGCCGGAAGGUUAAGAGGAUCCGUCAGGCUUCGGCCGAAGCGGUGAAUUCAAGCCCCGGUAAACGGCGGUGGUAACUAUAACCAUCCUAAGGUAGCGAAAUUCCUUGUCGGGUAAGUUCCGACCUGCACGAAUGGCGUAACGACUUCCCCACUGUCUCGACCAGGAGCUCGGCGAAAUUGCAGUACGAGUAAAGAUGCUCGUUAAGCGCAGAAGGACGAAAAGACCCCGGGACCUUUACUAUACCUUGGUAUUGGCAUUCGGUGUGGAUUGUGUAGCAUAGGCGGAAGGCUUCGAAGCCACGGCGCCAGCCGCGGUGGAGCCGCAAGGUGAAAUACCGCUCUGUUCGCAUUGGAUGUCUAACCUCGACCAGUCAUCCUGGUCAGGGACAGUGCCUGGCGGGUAGUUUAACUGGGGCGGUUGCCUCCCAAAGAGUAACGGAGGCGCUCAAAGGUUCCCUCAGCCCGGUUGGCAAUCGGGUGGCGAGUGUAAGUGCACAAGGGAGCUUGACUGCGAGACUGACGGGUCGAGCAGGGACGAAAGUCGGAACUAGUGAUCCGGUGCCGGUGUACGGACGCGGCAUCGCUCAACGGAUAAAAGGUACCCCGGGGAUAACAGGCUGAUCAUUCCCAAGAGUCCAUAUCGACGGGAUGGUUUGGCACCUCGAUGUCGGCUCGUCGCAUCCUGGGGCUGGAGCAGGUCCCAAGGGUUCGGCUGUUCGCCGAUUAAAGCGGCA